GGUUGUGAUGAUGAAGCAUGAGACUGUCCCUGGCUUGGUUGUGACGAUGAUGCAUUAGACUGGCAAUGAAAAAAAAUUCAAGUGAGCAUAAGAAGAUCAGAAACAAACCAAAAACAUCUUGAAACUUGCCUGAUUUUUCCUAGGGCGGCCUCGUGGUUUCUUGGGCUGACUUUCAACAAAGUCAUUCUUACAUGUCUUCUUGUUAUGAUUAUCUUGCUUGCAAUUAGAACAUAUAAUAACUCGAUCAGCACGAGUUAGCUUCGUACUAUCAGUUGCA
rnacentral:lncRNA from 1 species